UACGUAGGGGGCAAGCGUUGUCCGGAUUUAUUGGGCGUAAAGAGCUCGUAGGCGGUUUGUCGCGUCUGCUGUGAAAUUUCGGGGCUCAACCCCGAACUUGCAGUGGGUACGGGCAGACUAGAGUGUGGUAGGGGAGACUGGAAUUCCUGGUGUAGCGGUGAAAUGCGCAGAUAUCAGGAGGAACACCGAUGGCGAAGGCAGGUCUCUGGGCCACUACUGACGCUGAGAAGCGAAAGCAUGGGGAGCGAACAGG
rnacentral:rRNA from 1 species